rnacentral:lncRNA from 11 species
CUGCUUUACAUGAAUAAGCAAGAAGAAGCAAAGGAGCAGGGAGACAUGUAACAAGGAUCCUUGCUUAUAUUUUGCCAUACUUCUGACUUUUUUUCCCCUCUUUCCUAUUUCCUACCUACCUUAUCACCUGCAGUAAAAACACAGGUUGCACCAUAUCUUUACAAGGCCGAAGACUGAUUCAUUGUACAAUUGCAAGUGGC